UAAUACGUAGGUGGCAAGCGUUGUCCGGAUUUACUGGGCGUAAAGAGCGCGCAGGCGGUCGUUCAAGUCGCGUGUGAAAGCCCCCGGCUCAACUGGGGAGGGUCACGCGAUACUGAUCGACUCGAAGGCAGGAGAGGGUAGUGGAAUUCCCGGUGUAGUGGUGAAAUGCGUAGAUAUCGGGAGGAACACCAGUGGCGAAGGCGACUACCUGGCCUGUUCUUGACGCUGAGGCGCGAAAGCUAGGGGAGCAAACGGGAUUAGAUACCCCGGUAGUCCUAGCCGUAA
rnacentral:rRNA from 1 species